UGCAUGAUGGUGCAGUUGGUUGCACCUUCUUCUUGCAGCAAGAAGGUCCUGGGUUCGAUUCCCGGCCGGGGGUCUUUCUGCAU